GUUGAACCUGGCUGAAAUCAGCUGCAAAUGUGUGAAAUCUGCUGAAACCAGCUGAAACCAGAUGGAACAACAUGAAUUCAGAUGAAACCAGCCAAAAUUGGAUGAGAUCAGUAGUGACCAGUUGAAUUUGGCUAAAAGUGGCUGAAACUCACUAGAGCUGGGUGAAACCAGUUGAAGUCAGCUAAAACCAGGUGAAACUGAUUGAAGCCAGCUGAAACCAGAGGAAACCAGCUGUAGCCAGAUGACACCCAAUGAGACUAUUUGAAACAAGUUGAAUCUGGCUGAAACCAGCAGAAAUCAGAUGAAGCUGAAUGAAGCAUGAUAAAACCAACUGAAACUGGAUAAAACCAGGUGGAACUGCAUGAAAGCAGAAGAAACUAGAUGAGACAAGUUCAAGGUGGCUGAAACCAGAAGAAACCAGAUGAAACUGAAUGGGACUGGUUGAUACUGGCCAAAAUCAGCCCAAACUGUAUGAAACUGGCUGGAAAUGGCCAAAGCCUUAGGAAACUGGAUGGAACCAGAGGAAAAUAGAGGAAACCAGAUGGAACUGGAUGAAACUAGCAGUAACUAGCAGCAGGAACACAUUUGCCCCUUAGUCCUGAUGAGCAUGCAGACCAUUAUUAGCAAGGAAGCUAGCUUGUUUUUUGCACCAAAGUUACCAGGUGAUGCUGAUGCUCCUGCUGACACUCCUCACCCAGGGAUCACACUUUGA
rnacentral:lncRNA from 13 species